UACGUAGGGCGCGAGCGUUGUUCGGAUUCAUUGGGCGUAAAGGGUGCGUAGGCGGCGCGGUAAGUCGGGUGUGAAAUCUCGGGGCUUAACUCCGAAACUGCAUUCGAUACUGCCGUGCUUGAGGACUGGAGAGGAGACUGGAAUUUACGGUGUAGCGGUGAAAUGCGUAGAUAUCGUAAGGAAGACCAGUGGCGAAGGCGGGUCUCUGGACAGUUCCUGACGCUGAGGCACGAAGGCCAGGGGAGCAAACGGG
rnacentral:rRNA from 1 species